AGUCCACAUUUUAGGUAAGAGUUCACACAUGCAUUGCCCUACACUAUCAUUGCUUUCUAUUGAGUCCAUGCUACAUUUGGAGACUCACAUGUUGACCUUCCAACAUUCUAAUAGGCCAUCACUUUUAAACAAGCAUUGAAUCAAUGCCUCAGUCACUACUUUCUAGUUGCCAAAUGGGAGGAAAGAAAUAGGAACCAAAAACCCUAGAAGGAAAAAAAAGAGAAAUAGAAACCCUAGUCAGAGGAUGGAUGAAAA
rnacentral:lncRNA from 1 species